rnacentral:rRNA from 1 species
UACGGAAGGCAGCAGUGGGGAAUAUUGCACAAUGGGCGCAAGCCUGAUGCAGCCAUGCCGCGUGUAUGAAGAAGGCCUUCGGGUUGUAAAGUACUUUCAGCGGGGAGGAAGGCGAUGCGGUUAAUAACCGCGUCGAUUGACGUUACCCGCAGAAGAAGCACCGGCUAACUCCGUGCCAGCAGCCGCGGUAAUACGGAGGGUGCAAGCGUUAAUCGGAAUUACUGGGCGUAAAGCGCACGCAGGCGGUCUGUUAAGUCAGAUGUGAAAUCCCCGGGCUUAACCUGGGAACUGCAUUUUGAAACUGGCAGGCUUGAGUCUUGUAGAGGGGGUAGAAUUCCAGGUGUAGCGGUGAAAUGCGUAGAGAUCUGGAGGAAUACCGGUGGCGAAGGCGGCCCCUGGGACAAAGACUGACGCUCAGGUGCGAAAGCGUGGGGAGCAAACAGGGAUUAGAUACC